rnacentral:rRNA from 1 species
GACGAACGCUGGCGGCGUGCUUAACACAUGCAAGUCGAACGGAAAGGCCCUGCUUUUGUGGGGUGCUCGAGUGGCGAACGGGUGAGUAACACGUGAGUAACCUGCCCUUGACUUUGGGAUAACUUCAGGAAACUGGGGCUAAUACCGGAUAGGAGCUCCUGCUGCAUGGUGGGGGUUGGAAAGUUUCGGCGGUUGGGGAUGGACUCGCGGCUUAUCAGCUUGUUGGUGGGGUAGUGGCUUACCAAGGCUUUGACGGGUAGCCGGCCUGAGAGGGUGACCGGACACAUUGGGACUGAGAGACGGACCAGACUCCUACGGGAGGCAGCAGUGGGGAAUAUUGCAAAAUGGGCGGAAGCCUGAUGCAGCAACGCAGCGUGCGGGAUGACGGCCUUCGGGUUGUAAACCGCUUUCGCCUGUGACGAAGCGUGAGUGACGGUAAUGGGUAAAGAAGCACCGGCUAACUACGUG